GAUGAACGCUGGCGGCGUGCCUAACACAUGCAAGUCGAACGGGGGUGCAUAAGGGAGUGAGGUGCUUGCACUGAUCUGACGGAUGCACCCUAGUGGCGGACGGGUGAGUAACGCGUGGGUAACCUGCCUUAUACAGGGGGAUAACACUUAGAAAUAGGUGCUAAUACCGCAUAAGCGCACGGUGCCGCAUGGCACUGUGUGGAAAGCGUCAGUGGUAUAAGAUGGACCCGCGUCUGAUUAGCCAGUUGGUGGGGUAACGGCCUACCAAAGCGACGAUCAGUAGCCGGCCUGAGAGGGUGGACGGCCACAUUGGGACUGAGACACGGCCCAGACUCCUACGGGAGGCAGCAGUGGGGGAUAUUGCACAAUGGGGGAAACCCUGAUGCAGCGACGCCGCGUGGGCGAAGGAGUACUUCGGUAUGUAAAGCUCUAUCAGCAGGGAAGAAAUAGAACCUAGCGGUUCCUAGACGGUACCUGACCAAGAAGCCCCGGCUAACUACGUGCCAGCAGCCGCGGUAAUACGUAGGGGGCAAGCGUUAUC
rnacentral:rRNA from 1 species